rnacentral:rRNA from 1 species
GACGAACCGAGCGAACGUUGUUCGGAAUCACUGGGCUUAAAGGGCGCGUAGGCGGGCUGUCAAGUCUGGGGUGAAAUCCCGCGGCUCAACCGUGGAACUGCCUCAGAUACUGACGGUCUCGAGGGGGAUAGGGGCGAGCGGAACUAAUGGUGGAGCGGUGAAAUGCGUUGAUAUCAUUAGGAACUCCGGUGGCGAAGGCGGCUCGCUGGAUCUCUUCUGACGCUGAGGCGCGAAAGCUAGGGGAGCAAACGGG